ACCUCAAAUCAGGUAAGAAUACCCGCUGAACUUAAGCAUAUCAAUAAGCGGAGGAAAAGAAAAUAACAAUGAUUCCCCUAGUAACGGCGAGUGAAGAGGGAAAAGCUCAAAUUUUAAAUCUGCUAGGUUUUACUUAUCAGAAUUGUAAUUUGAAGAAGCGUUUUCCGCGUCUCGGUUGGCCCAAAUCCUUUGGGAUAAGGUAUCAUGGAGGGUGAGAAUCCCGUUCGGUUGACCUUAUGACGCUCUACGAUACGCUCUCUAAGAGUCGAGUUGUUUGGGAUUGCAGCUCAAAAUGGGAGGUAAAUUUCUCCUAAGGCUAAAUAUCGGCGAGAGACCGAUAGCGAACAAGUACCGUGAGGGAAAGAUGAAAAGAACUUUGAAAAGAGAGUAAAAUAGUACGUGAAAUUGUUGAAAGGGAAACGAUUGAAGUCAGUCGUACCGACGAGAAAUCAGCUUAUCGCGUGUGAACUUGUGGGCGUGCGUGAGUUUCGGCCUCGCUGUUUGCAUGUUUGUGCGUUUUGGGUGUACUUUUUCGUAUGGUUGGCCAACGUCAGUUUCGAUUACUAUAAAAUGACCGGCGGAAUGUAGCUUCGAUUUCGGUUGAAGUGUUAUAGCCUCUGGUAGGUGUGGUGAUUGGGACUGAGGAUUGCAACGAAUUCCUUUGGACCAUCCGUCUGAUCUCUGAAAGUUGCUCAGGUGCCGAAAGCGUGCUUACGGUCAUCUAAGUUGACGGUCAAUAGGUUAGAACGUGAUUACAUUCGUUAAGGACGUUGGCGUAAUGGCUUUAAACGACCCGUCUUGAAACACGGACCAAGGAGUCUAACAUAUAUGCGAGUGAUCAGUAUUGGGGAUCCAUAAU
rnacentral:rRNA from 1 species